GGGUUUUAGCUCAGUGGUAGAACAUCUGCCAUGCAUGCAGAAGGUCUUAGGUUCAAUCCCCAACAUACCCA